ensembl:snRNA U6 U6 spliceosomal RNA
GCUUCCUUUGGCAAAAUAUAUAUUAAAACUGGAAUGAUACAUAGAAGAUUAGUAUGGUCCCUGUGAAAGUCAUUCAUACAAAUUUGUGUUUUAUUU